UACGUAGGUGACAAGCGUUAUCCGGAUUUAUUGGGCGUAAAGCGCACGCAGGCGGCAGAGAAAGUCUGACGUGAAAUCUCCCGGCUUAACCGGGAGCGGUCGUUGGAAACUACUUGGCUUGAGGCGAGGAGAGGAGUGCGGAAUUCCCGGUGUAGUGGUGGAAUGCGUAGAUAUCGGGAGGAACAUCAGUGGCGAAAGCGGCACUCUGGCCUUAGCCUGACGCUCAGGUGCGAAAGCGUGGGGAGCGAACGGG
rnacentral:rRNA from 1 species